rnacentral:rRNA from 1 species
GAUGAACGCUGGCGGCGUGCCUAAUACAUGCAAGUCGAGCGAAUGGAUUAAGAGCUUGCUCUUAUGAAGUUAGCGGCGGACGGGUGAGUAACACGUGGGUAACCUGCCCAUAAGACCGGGAUAACUCCGGGAAACCGGGGCUAAUACCGGAUAACAUUUUGAACUGCAUGGUUCGAAAUUGAAAGGCGGCUUCGGCUGUCACUUAUGGAUGGACCCGCGUCGCAUUAGAUAGUUGGUGGGGUAACGGCUCACCAAGGCAACGAUGCGUAGCCGACCUGAGAGGGUGAUCGGCCACACUGGGACUGAGACACGGCCCAGACUCCUACGGGAGGCAGCAGUAGGGAAUCUUCCGCAAUGGACGAAAGUCUGACGGAGCAACGCCGCGUGAGUGAUGAAGGCUUUCGGGUCGUAAAACUCUGUUGUUAGGGAAGAACAAGUGCUAGUUGAAUAAGCUGACACCUUGACGGUACCUAACCAGAAAGCCACGGCUAACUACGUGCCAGCCGCCGCCGUAA